rnacentral:lncRNA from 1 species
UUCUCUCUUUCCAAUUUCUUCAUUUGUUGUUUCCUUUCUUCCUCGUCUCUAUCUCUAUCUUUUAGAUCUGACCACGACAAAAUACACCUGUCUCUGAAGAGGACCAAAACCUAGUUGUGUCUUGACCACAAUCAUUAGAGGCUCAGUCCAAGACAGAUAUUACAAAGGGUCCUGAUCUGUUGUGGUGGUGGAAGAAAAUGAAAGUCCAGAUCUGUUGUUUUUAUCACAAGGUUUCACGCCUCUUCAAGCACAUAGAAUGCCCUUAAAUCCAACACUCCUCUACCUCCUUCUCUUCACCUCCACUUUCUCCCUCCUCAUUCUCCUCUGUCUGCCGCUCUAUCAAUUACAAGGGAAUUGAAGGAACUGAUUUUGAAUCUAUCUGGAAUGCGAUCGAGAUGUUGGAUCGAUGUGCAUGAUGUAUUUGAUUUGGAUUUAGAAUUGGAAUGUUUGAUUUGGAAUUUGAUGCUUCUUGUUGCUGUGAUUUGGAUUUGCUUAUGCUUCUUGUUGAUGCCAUUUGGAAUAUUUGAUGUGUUAUUGCUGUGAUUUGGAUGUGGAAUGAUGUUGUUGUGAUUUGGAUUUGUUGAUGCUUCCAG